rnacentral:tRNA from 1 species
GCCUGGAUGGCUCAGUCAGUUGAGUGUCCGACUUCCAAUCAGGUCAUGAUCUCAGAAUUCGUGAGUUCAAGCCCCGCAUCAGGCU